ACGGUGAAGAGAUUUCGGUCAAUCAUGUGCAUCUUUAGUGGCGGACGGGUGAGUAACGCGUGGGUAACCUGCCUUACACAGGGGGAUAACACUUAGAAAUAGGUGCUAAUACCGCAUGAGCGCACAGGACCGCAUGGUCGAGUGUGAAAAACUGAGGUGGUGUAAGAUGGACCCGCGUCUGAUUAGCUGGUUGGUGAGGUAACGGCCCACCAAGGCGACGAUCAGUAGCCGGCCUGAGAGGGUGGACGGCCACAUUGGGACUGAGACACGGCCCAAACUCCUACGGGAGGCAGCAGUGGGGGAUAUUGGACAAUGGGGGGAACCCUGAUCCAGCG
rnacentral:rRNA from 1 species